rnacentral:lncRNA from 1 species
CUGGGGCCCAGGCCCCCCAGCCACCUUGGAGGGAGGCUGGAGUGCAUUGGUUCAAACACGGCUCACUGUAGCCUCGAUCUGGAGCCGCCACACCCGGUCUACUCUUGCAACUUGAUGUUGCAUGUACAGUCGUGUUCCAUUUUACGGAGGAGGACACUGAGGCGCAGAGGAAUGAAGUUUACAUGGUCACUGUCACUUUCUUAGUCCGUUCUGGCUGCCAUAUAUAACAAAAUACCAUCAACUGGGUGGCUUAUAAACAGCAGAAAUUUAUUUAUCACAGUUCUAGAAGCUGGGAAAUUCAAGAUCAAGGUACCAGCAGAUUCAGUGUCUGUUGAGGGCAAACUUCCUAGAUGGCGAUCUUUUCUCUAAUCUCACAUGGCGGGAGGGGCAAGGCAGCUCUCUGGGGUCUCUUUUAUGAAGGCGCAGUGAGAAGCUCAGCAGGUUUGUGAAAAGGAAAAAAAAUACAUAAGGGCACAAAUCCCAUUCACCUAAUCACCAAAUCGCCUUCCAAAGGCUCCACCUCCAAUUACCAUCAUGUUGGGGAUUAGGUUUCAUCAUGUCAAUCUUGGUGUGGUGGGUGAUGGGGUAGAGGGCUGGUCUAUAAACAUUCAGACCAUAAUAAUCAGUAAAUAAACAGGCCCAGGAUCUAACCCAGAUAUGAUCAGUUACAGAGCUAGUGAUCUUCACCAGCCUGGGCAACACGGUGAAACUCCAUCUUUACAAAAAAUACAGGUGGUGUGCAUCUGUGCUCCCAGCUACUGAGGAAGCUGAGGUGGGAGGAUUGCUUGAGCCCAGGAGGUUGAGGCUGCAAUUGCACCACUGCACUCCAGGAUGGGCAGCGGCGUGAGACUCUGUCUCAAAAACAAAAACCAGUGCUCUUCAAAAAUGAAGUUUUUGAAAUGGAAAAAGUAGGCCAGGUGCAGUGGCUCACACCUGUAAUCCCAGUGCUUUGGGAGGCCAAGGCGGGCGGAUCACUUGAGGUCAAGGAGUUUGAGGCCAGCCUGGCCAACAUAGUGAAACCCUGUCUCUACUAAAAAUACAAAAGUUAGCUGGGCAUGGUGGCACGUGCCUGUAAUCCCAGCUACUCUGGAGGCUGAGGCAGGAGAAUCACUUGAACCCAGGACGUGGAGGUGGCAGUGAGCCGAGAUCGCACCACUGCACGCCACCCUGAGAGACAGCGAGAUUUCGUCUAAAGAAAAAAAAAAAAGGUUGGGCGUGGUGGUGGCUCACACCUGUAAUCCUAGCAUUUUGGGAGGCCAAGGAGGGCAGAUCAUGAGGUCAGGAGUUCAAGACCAGCCUGGCCAACAUGGUGAAACCCCAUCUCUACUAAAUAUACAAAAAUUAGCUGGGUGUGGUGGCACGUGCCUGUAAUCCCAGCUACUCUGGAGGCUGAGGCAGGAAUAUCGCUUGAAGCCAGGACUUGGAGGUUGCAGUGAGCCAAGAUCGCACUACUGUACUCCAGCCUGGGAGACAGAUCAAGCCUCCAUCUCAAAAAAAGAAAAGAAAAGAAAAGAAAAAAAAAGUCCAAGCGCUGUGGCUCACACCUGCAAUCCCAGCACUUUGGGAGGCCAAGGAGGGAGGAUCAUCUG